CAACUUAGCUGGCAGGGGAGAUACCAUGAUCAGAAAGGCGGUUUUUCCCAGAGUGAGGUGCGUCCAUUGCACUGCGGGUGCACUGACCCCUGCGAUUUCCACAAAUGCAAGAAACUCGACUGCAUAAUUUGUGGUAGUGGGGGACUGCAUUCACGCUUUCCCCUG